rnacentral:rRNA from 1 species
CCUAGCUACUGCGGAGGAUCAUUAUCGAGUCUUUGAAGAAGUUGUAGCUGGCCUUUCUGGGCAUGUGCACGCUUCGCUCAAAUCCAACUCAUUCAUAACACCUGUGCACAUAUCGUAGGAUGGUUGAUACAGACGAAGAACUUCGGUUCCUCUCGAGUUGUUGACGCCUUCCUAUGUUUCAUUUACACACUUAUUGUCGUAUCAUGAAUGUUUUUUGCGCUUAAAUAACGCAUUAUAUAUAACUUUUAGCAACGGAUCUCUUGGCUCUCGCAUCGAUGAAGAACGCAGCGAAAUGCGAUAAGUAAUGUGAAUUGCAGAAUUCAGUGAAUCAUCGAAUCUUUGAACGCAACUUGCGCCCUUUGGUAUUCCGAAGGGCAUGCCCGUUUGAGUGUCAUGGUAUUCUCAAAGCCCUCUUCAUUUUUUGAUGAUGUUGGUGCUUUGGAUUUGGAGGUCUCUUUGCAGGUUUAGUAAUAAGUCUGCUCCUCUUGAAUGUAUUAGCUGGAAAUCUUUGCUCAGGUCUAGCUUCAGUGUGAUAAUUGUCUACGCUGUAGCUGUCUAAGCACAUGUAUGGAAUUCCGCUUCUAGUUGUCUUUACACAGAUCGUAAUGAUCUUUUGACAUCUGACCUCAAUCGGGUAGGACUACCCGCUGAACUUAAGCAUACAAAAACGGAAGAAUUUGAUUU